CUCCAUGAGCUUCCACAGUGUCCAAAUGGCCUCCUUGGAUGGGCAGUGUCACCAUUGGCCAUUGGCUCCAUGCAGCCCCGCUGGGUCACCGUGGGCUCCUUGGUUCCAUGAGGUUCUGGGGGUAUCUCCAUGGCCUCCUUGGAUCCACAGUGUCACAAUGGAUCACUGGAUCCACGUGGCCCUGCUGUGUCACCAUGGCCUCUUGCUUCCAUGGGACCCCAGGGUCACAAUUGACUCCUUGCUUCCACGUCACCCCCUCAGUGCCAAAAUGGCCCCUUCCUUCCAUGGAAGCAAGGGAAGAGCAGUUCUCUUUUUGCAUUCAAAAGAGAGCUUAAAGGUGAGGAUGGCACCAGCAGCUUCCAUCUGCAACAGAGAUCCAGGGAAAGGACAGGGACAGAGAAUUCAGCUGGGAGACUCAGAGAAUUCUGCUUCCAGAGAUCAUUUCUGGCCACACUGUCCCCUGUAGAAAGGUGACACCAUUCCAGGCAGCCUGUACUGAGCAGGUGCUUCCUGAGUGGAGUUUGUUGUUCAGGAAACCUGCUCAGGCUUUUCCAUUCUUUCCUUCCCAAGAGGAAAACUUCUCCUGGGCCUGUGUGCAGGCAGAGCCCUGAGGAGAGCAGGUGGGACACAGUGCACUGGGCUGGGACAUGGAGCUGCAGAGCUCAGGGACAAGGUUCUGCUGCAGGGCACAGGGAUGUCAGUGCCAGGUGGGCCAUGUCAGACAUGGUGAGGCUGGGGCUGGGGAGCAGCUUGUCCAAACAGGGUCAGCCCUCAAGGGGCUCAUUCUUCUACAUGCCCAGACCUCCUAAGGAGACAUUCAGCAUCAAGAUCACCUGGGGAAUGCUUCUAUCAGCUCUUCUCUGAACCAGAAAUUUUUAAAAAAUACUUACUUGAUUAAAUAAAAAACUAUGAGGUGCACUUUGAAAUCUUUCUCUUUUACAGAACUCCAAUCAGUUGCACAAGCCCUGGAGACUUGAAGACCAUUUAAGUAAGUGAAAGACCCCCAAAGGCUUUCUAUAUUUAAAGAUACCCACGAUGGAUUUGGGGCUGUGUCCAGGACACUCAGACACUGAGAAGGCUGAAGAAGCUGCUCAAGGAGUCAGAAGCAAAACUCCAAGGCCCUUGCAGCAUCACUGGGCCCCACUGAGGGCAGGGCCUGCAAAGGCUCCCCAGGGACUGGUGAGAGCAGAUCCUUGAGGCCAGGACAGCAGGGAGCCAAAGGCUCAGAGCAGGGAACUGCAAUGCUGAGCAAGGCCUGGGCUGGCUGGGGGAAGCAGAAAGGCCAAGCCCUGAGCCCAGCCUGGCACAGCAGGGCCUGUCCCUCACGGGUGGCUCAGGGCUGUUUGUGGGGCAGUGGGAUGUGAGGGGCAGCAAGGACAAAUGUCACAAAUCUGUGUGACACUCCAGAUCCUCAUGGAACCAAGGGCCCGGUGUGACACUGUGGGAAGUUGUGGAACCAAGGGAUCACUGUGGCACUGUUGGGCCCAUGGAACCAAGGGGCCAUUGUGACACUGUGGGGCCUCAUGGAAUCAAGGAGACCAUUGUGGAACUCGGUGGCCCCAAGGAACCAAGGGUCCGUGGUGACCUUGUGGAGCCCGCAGUGUCACAGAGGAGCUGUUGUGACACAGCGAGGGCGUGUGGAGCCAAGGGGCCAUUGUGACACAUCAGGGCUCUGUGGAACCAAGGGGCCAUUGUGACACUGCAGAAGCAAGGGGGACAUUGUGACACUCCAGGGCCUCAUGGAACCAAGGAGACCAUUGUGACACUGUGGGGUCCCACAAAACCAAGGGAACAUGGAACAGAUCUGGCUGGCUUGGCCACCUGGGGCUACCUCUCAUCUGCCUUUGAGACACUGGGACCAUGUGCUUUUCUUUCUUAUAGGAAAAACCAUCCAUCUCCACCAGGCACCCAUGGCCAAAAUUAGGCAUCUGCCUCCAGAAUUCCCUAUAUCCAAGGACAGCUCCCAGACAGAAGCUGCCAGGACUGACAAGUCUGGCUGGCCUUGGCUUCCUGAGGGCUGGCACUCAUGUGCCUCUGAAACACUGGAGCUCUGUGCUUUCCUUCCUAAUGAAAAGAACUCAUCUUCCUGUCCAGCCACCCACGGCCAAAAUUGAGAUUCCACCUCCAAAAUUCCCAGGGUCCAUGGAUAGCCCCUAGAUGAAAGAUGCCAGGAGAGACAGGUCUGGCUGGCUUGGCCUAAGGGUGGCCACCUCUCAUCUUCUUCCAGAACACUUGGACUUCAUGCUUUUCUUUCCUGCACCAAAAAAUCAUCCAAUCCUGACCAGGUGCCCAUGGCCAAAAUUGGGAUUCCACCUCCAAAAGUCUGUACAUCCAAGGAUUGCUCCCCAGUGAAAUCAGCCAGGACAGACAGGUCUGGAUGCCCUUGGCCUCUUGGGGGCUGCCUCUCACCUGCUUUCAAAACACCGGGGCUCAGUGCUUUCCUUCCUAUAGAAAAGAACUGCCCUUCUUCUCAAGGUGUCCGUGGUCAAAAUUGAGAUUCCUUCUCCCAAAUUCCAUAUAUCCAAAGAUCCCUCCACAACAAAAGCUGCCAGGACAAACAGGUCUGGCUGGCUUGGCUUCCCAGGAACCCCAUCUCUCUCGUGUUCUGUCUUUGAAACACUUGGGCUCAGUGUUUUCCUUCCUAUGGAAUAGAACUGUCCUUCUUAUCUACACAGAAAUGGCCAAAAUUGGGGUUCCACCUCCCAAAUUCCCUAUAUCCAAGGGUUGCUUUCAGACAAAAGCUAUCAGGACAGAGACAUCUUGCUGCCUUAGGCCUCUGAUAGCCGCCUUUCAUCUGCCCCUCAAGCACCGGUGUUCCGUGCUUUUCUUUACAUGGAAAAGAAUUGUGUUUCUCCUCCAGGUGUCCAUGUCUGAAAUUGGGAUUCCACCUCAAAAAUUCCCUAUAUCCGAGGGCUGUUCCCAGCCAAAAUCUGCCAGUACCGUCAAGUCUGGCUGGCCUUGGCCUCUGGUGGCUGCCCCUGCCACACUGGGGCUCGAUUCUUUCCUUCCCAUGGAGAUCCCUGUGACACUGUGGGCACCUCAUGGAACCAAGGGGAUCAUUGUGGCACCACUGGAGCCCAUGGAACCAAGGGGCCAUGGUGACACAGCGGGGCUUCAUGGACCCAGAGACCAUCAUGACUCUGUGAGGCCUGAUGGAACCAUGGAGGCCAUGAGGACCCUUCAGGGCCUCGUGUCACCAAGGGGCAUUGUGACACCUCAGGGCCUCCUGGGAGCAAGGGACCAUUGGGACACUGUGGGGCCCCAUGGAACCGAGGGAACAUGGAACAGGUCUGGCUGGCUUGGCCUCCCAGGGGCCACCUGACAGGUCUGGCUGAUCUUGGAAUGCCAAGGGCUGCCUCUCAUCAGCUCCUGGAGCACUGGGGCUUCGUGCUUUCCUUGCUGUGGGAAAGAACUGUCCAUCUUUUCAGAUGCCCAUUGCCAAAACUGGUUUCCUCCCUGAAAAAUUUCCUCUAUGCAAGAGUAUCUCCCAGAAAAAAACCUGCCAACUCUGGCUGGCCUUGCCUUCUGAUGGUCACCUCUCAUCCACCUGGGAAACAUUGGGGCUCUGUUCCUUCCUUCCUAUUGAAAAGAACCUGGCCUUCAUGUCCAAGGUCCAUGACAAAAAUUAGAAUUUGGCCUCCCAAAUUCCAUAUAUCCAAGGAUUUCUCCCUGACAAAUGUAGCCAGGACAGACAGGUCAGGCUGGCCCUGUCCUCUAGUGAUUUUCUUAGACUAUGAGCUGCUGCUGCUCUGCUCUGGCCUGGCUGCUGAGAUCCUGGCCCUGCCCCCUGCGCCGCCCAGCCUGACACAGCCCCAGCGCAGCCGCUGCACAAACCUCCAUGGGAAAACAGCUCCUGCCGCAAGGACCCAGCCCGGCCGGGCUCACGCAACCAUCUGCAGGCCCCGCCUGAGAUAUUGACUCUUCCCGUGCUUCCAUCCUCCCUCCAGGGAGAGAAAAGGACAAAGUGCAGGCACACACAGGAGCAACGUGAAGACACCGAGAAUGGGGAGAUGACUUGCUCAGCAAAGGCCUCCCUGCUAAAGGAAGCAAAUGCUGCAGUAGCUGUGAUCCCAUGAGAAGUUUGAACAGACAAAGAGAGCAGAGUGAUGAGACCCUGUGCCCUCAGUGAGAGAAGAAGAAGAUCUCUGUUCCCGGAGAUGAAGAGGAUUUCAGAAAUAGAUGAAGAGAACCUUUGCUCUUAAACAGCUCAUCUUUAAACCAAUACCCCAUAAGAUGGCAUGGCCCAUAAACACAGCUGUGGGAAAAGCUGUAAAAAAUGGGAGGGACUUCACGAUUGCAGAUUAUUCCAGGCAGCUGCUAUUUGUGGAAAUGAAAAGCCAUGAGAGAACUGUUUUCUUGUGGAGAAGUCUCCAUAACAUGAACAAGAGGAACUUCUCUCCCUAAGUGGACUGAAGAAAGACUAUUCAAGAGGUGGAAAACUGACAGAAAAUUUUAGGUUUUGUCUCUUUACAUUGUCAGGUUGUAUGGAGAGGAAAUGUUCUUGAAGUUUUGUUCAGAUUCUUAUUACUCUUUCUUUUAGUUACUGUUAAUAAACUUUGAUUUACACCAUUUUAA